rnacentral:rRNA from 2 species
UGGGACCUCAGGUCAGGCGGGGCUACCC